GACGAACGCUGGCGGCGUGCCUAACACAUGCAAGUCGAACGGGGGUAGCAAUACCUCAGUGGCGAACGGGUGCGUAACACGUGAAGAAUUUGUCUAACGGCGGGGGAUAGCCGGCCCAACGGCCGGGUAAUACCGCGUACGACCUCUGGAGGGCAUCCUCUGGUGAUGAAAGCCGCAAGGCGCCGAUAGAGAACUUCGCGGCCUAUCAGCUAGUUGGCGGGGUAAUGGCCCACCAAGGCGACGACGGGUAGCUGGUCCGAGAGGAUGACCAGCCACAUUGGGACUGAGACACGGCCCAGACUCCUACGGGAGGCAGCAGUGGGGAAUAUUGCGCAAUGGGCGAAAGCCUGACGCAGCGACGCCGCGUGUGGGAUGACGGCC
rnacentral:rRNA from 1 species